GUUUGCACGGCAUCCCUUCUUCUUUCCCUUUCCUUCUUCUUUUGUGUAGCCUCUUCUUGUUCCUGCAAAAUAGAAUUAUAUUAUACAAUAUAUCACCAUUCAUUGGCAAGAGAAUAGUGCAAAUUCUGCUCUAAAUUGAAGAACAUUCACAGUACAAAAACAGAACAACAAAGAUAGAACGUAAUAAAGAAUUCUCUAUGCUUUCAU
rnacentral:misc_RNA from 1 species